CAAGAAGAGACCCUAACCGGUCCUCUCAACCCUGCCCAUCGUACCUUUUUUGUUGUUCCCUCGGCGGUGCUCGCGGGCCCGCCGGCGGGAAGACCAAACAAACCCUUUGCAAACAAGCAUAUCGGAUCUCUGAUCAAACAUGAAUUGUCA
rnacentral:misc_RNA from 1 species